CGGAGAGUGCAAACGUUGUUCGGAUUCACUGGGCGUAAAGGGCACGUAGGCGGCUCGGCAAAUCGGUCGUGGAAUCCCGACGCUUACCGUCGGAACGGCGGCCGAAAAUACCGGGCUCGAGGGCGUGAGGGGUCACUGGAACUCCUGGUGAAGCGGUGAAAUGCGUAGAUAUCAGGAGGAACGCCGGAGGCGAAAGCGAGUGACUGGCGCGUUCCUGACGCUGAGGUGCGAAAGCUAGGGGAGCAAACAGGAUUAGAUACCCUGGUAGUCCUAGCCGUAAACGAUGGACACUGAGUGGAGGAGGGCUUGCCUUUCUCUGCUGCAGCUAACGCGUUAAGUGUCCCGCCUGGGGAGUACGGCCGCAAGGUUA
rnacentral:rRNA from 1 species